rnacentral:rRNA from 1 species
GACGAACGCUGGCGGCGUGCUUAACACAUGCAAGUCGAACGGAAAGGCCCUGCUUUUGUGGGGUGCUCGAGUGGCGAACGGGUGAGUAACACGUGAGUAACCUGCACUUGACUUUGGGAUAACUUCAGGAAACUGGGGCUAAUACCGGAUUGGAGCUCCUGCUGCAUGGUGGGGGUUGGAAAGUUUCGGCGGUUGGGGAUGGACUCGCGGCUUAUCAGCUUGUUGGUGGGGUAGUGGCUUACCAAGGCUUUGACGGGUAGCCGGCCUGAGAGGGUGACCGGCCACAUUGGGACUGAGAUACGGCCCAGACUCCUACGGGAGGCAGCAGUGGGGAAGAGUGCACAAUGGGCGGAAGCCUGAUGCAGCAACGCCGCGUGCGGGAUGACGGCCUUCGGGUUGUAUACCGCUUUCGCCUGUGACGAAGCGUGAGUGACGGUAAUGGGUAAAGAAGCACCGGCUAACUACGUG